rnacentral:rRNA from 1 species
UGGUGGAGUGAUUUGUCUGGUUAAUUCCGAUAACGAACGAGACUCUGUCCUGCUAACUAGGUUGUGUUUUCUCGGGUUGGUGUUUCUGGUGUUCCUUCUCGGGGCGCCGGCCCAAUCCACUUGUGAACACAACACUCUUCUUAGAGGAACUGGCGGCUGUUAGCCGCACGAGAUAGAGCAAUAACA